rnacentral:rRNA from 1 species
UACGGAGGGGGCGAGCGUUAUUCGGAAUUAUUGGGCGUAAAGGGCGCGUAGGCGGCCUGAUAAGUCAAAGGUGAAAUCCCUCGGCUCAACUGAGGAAUUGCCUUUGAAACUGUCAGGCUUGAGGCCGGGAGGGGGUGGCGGAAUUCCCAGUGUAGCGGUGAAAUGCGUAGAUAUUGGGAAGAACACCGGUGGCGAAGGCGGCUCUCUGGACCGUAACUGACGCUGAGGCGCGAAAGCGUGGGGAGCAAACAGG